rnacentral:rRNA from 1 species
GACGAACGCUGGCGGCGUGCCUAAUACAUGCAAGUCGAACGCAGUGGGGACGGGUGAGUAACACGUGGGUAACCUCCCAUCAGAGGGGAUACCACUUGGAAACAGGUGCUAAACCGAUACAGAUGGAUGGACCCGCGGUGCAUUAGCUAGGGGGUGAGGUAACGGCUCACCAAGGCCACGCUGCAUAGCCGACCUGAGUGGGUGAACGGCCACGCUGGGACUGGGACAGGGCCCAAACUCCUACGGGAGGCAGCAUUAGGGAAUCUUCGGCAAUGGACGAAAGUCUUACCGGGCAACGCCGCGUGAGUGAAGAAGGUUUUCGGAUCGUAAAACUCUGUUGUUAGAGAAGCGGUAUCUAACCAGAAAGCCACGGCUAACUACGUGCCAGCAGCCGCGGUAAUUC